AGCGGCGGACGGGUGAGUAAUGCGUGGGAAUAUGCCCUUUGGUAUGGAAUAGCCCCUGGAAACGGGGAGUAAUACCGUAUGUGCCCUACGGGGAAAAGAUUUAUCGCCAAAGGAUUAGCCCAUGUUGGAUUAGCUGGUUGGUGAGGUAAAAGCUCACCAAGGCGACGAUCUAUAGCUGGUUUGAGAGGAUGAUCAGCCACACUGGGACUGAGACACGGCCCAGACUCCUACGGGAGGCAGCAGUGGGGAAUAUUAGACAAUGGGCGAAAGCCUGAUCUAGCCAUGCCGCGUGAGUGAAGAAGGCCCUAGGGUUGUAAAGCUCUUUCAGAUGUGAGGAUGAUGACAGUAAUAUCAGAAGAAGCCCCGGCUAACUUCGUGCCAGCAGCCGCGGUAAUACGAAGGGGGCUAGCGU
rnacentral:rRNA from 1 species